rnacentral:rRNA from 1 species
CCUACGGGUGGCAGCAGUGGGGAAUAUUGCACAAUGGGGGAAACCCUGAUGCAGCGACGCCGCGUGAAGGAAGAAGUAUUUCGGUAUGUAAACUUCUAUCAGCAGGGAAGAAAAUGUCGGUACCUGACUAAGAAGCCCCGGCUAACUAAGUGCCAGCAGCCGCGGUAAUACGUAGGGGGCAAGCGGUAUCCGGAUGUACUGGGUGUAACGGGAGCGUAGACGGUUCAGCAAGUCAGAAGUGAAAGCCCGGGGCUCAACUGCGGGACUGCUUUUGAAACUGUUGAACUAGAGUGCAGGAGAGGUAAGGGGAAUUCCUAGUGUAGCGGUGAAAUGCGUAGAUAUUAGGAGGAACACCAGUGGCGAAGGCGGCUUACUGGACUGUAAAUGACGCUGAGGCUCGAAAGCGUGGGGAGCAAACAGGAUUAGAUACCCGGGUAGUC